rnacentral:rRNA from 1 species
UAGGGAAUCUUCCACAAUGGACGCAAGUCUGAUGGAGCAACGCCGCGUGAGUGAAGAAGGUUUUCGGACCGUAAAGCUCUGUUGUUGGUGAAGAAGGAUAGAGGUAGUAACUGGCCUUUAUUUGACGGUAAUCAACCAGAAAGUCACGGCUAACUACGUGCCAGCAGCCGCGGUAAUACGUAGGUGGCAAGCGUUGUCCGGAUUUAUUGGGCGUAAAGCGAGCGCAGGCGGAAGAAUAAGUCUGAUGUGAAAGCCCUCGGCUUAACCGAGGAAUUGCAUCGGAAACUGUUUUCUUGAGUGCAGAAGAGGAGAGUAGAACUCCAUGUGUAGCGGUGGAAUGCGUAGAUAUAUGGAAGAAUACCAGUGGCGAAGGCGGCUCUCUGGUCUGCAACUGACGCUGAGGCUCGAAUGCAUGGGUAGCGAACAGGAUUAGAUACCCUGGUAGUCCAUGCCGUAAACGAUGAGUGCUAAGUGUUGGGAGGCUUCCGCCUCUCAGUGCUGCAGCUAACGCAUUAAGCACUCCGCCUGGGGGAGUACGACCGCAAGGUUGAAAC